CCAAUAGCGUAUAUUAAAGUUGUUGCAGUUAAAAAGCUCGUAGUUGAAUUUCGGGAUCAGUAGGGUUGGUCAUGCCUCUGGUAUGCACUGGUCUCACUGGUUCCUCCUUCCUGAUGAACCGUAAUGCCAUUAAUUUGGUGUUGCGGGGAAACUGGACUGUUACUUUGAAAAAAUUAGAGUGUUUAAAGCAAGCUAACGCUUGAAUACAUUAGCAUGGAAUAAUGAAAUAGGACGAUCGAUCCUAUUUUGUUGGUUUCUAGGAUUGACGUAAUGAUUAAUAGGGAUAGUUGGGGGCAUUAGUAUUCAAUUGUCAGAGGUGAAAUUCUUGGAUUUAUUGAAGACUAACUACUGCGAAAGCAUUUGCCAAGGAUGUUUUCAUUAAUCAAGAACGAAAGUUAGGGGAUCGAAGACGAUCAGAUACCGUCGUAGUCUUAACCAUAAACUAUGCCGACUAGGGAUCGGAUGAUGUUAAUUUUUUAAUGACUCAUUCGGCGCCUUACG
rnacentral:rRNA from 1 species